CGAGUUUUCCCGUAUGUACAUGUAAAACAAGGAGGUUGUGAUUGAACUUGUUCCGAGAACAUUGGCUGCAACUCCGGCUUUGCAGAUGUUGGGGUGUUUUGAGAAGCAAGCGUAGGAGAGAGUCAAGUUCCAAUGAGAACUGUAGUCAUGGCGACUCUGACAGUGAUGAGGAACAAGAGCAGUGGAUGGACACAACAGCAGGUGUUGAAGGCAGAUGACAGCCUGGUUGGUCCCCUGCCUGUUGGCUCACCUUUUGGCAUCACUGCCCUGAUAGAGUGAAGUGAUAGCAGUGUGGUUGGUUCCCUGCCGUUGGGCUCAUUUUCUGACAUCACUGGCCUGAUAGAGUGAGGUGAUAGCAGCAUGGUUGGUCCUUUGCCUUUGAGCUCAUCUCCCUGGCAUCACUGUCCUGAUAGAGUAUGGCGAGAGCAGCAUGGUUGGUCCUUGGCUUGUAGGCUCAUCUUCUGACAUCACUGUCCUGAUAGAGUAAGGCAAGAGCAGCAUGGGUGGUCCUUGGCUUGUGGGCUCAUCUUCUGGCAUCACUGCCCUGAUAGAGUAAGGUGAUAACAGUGUGGUUGGUUCCCUGCCUUUGGGCUCAUUUUCUGACAUCACUGGCCUGAUAGAGUAAGGCGAGAGCAGCAUGGGUGGUCCUUGGCUUGUGGGCUCAUCUUCUGACAUCACUGCCCUGAUAGAGUAAGGUGAUAGCAGUGUGGUUGGUUCCCUGCCUUUGGGCUCAUUUUCUGACAUCACUGUCCUGAUAGAGUAAGGCAGUAGCAUUGUGUUUU